GUUGUCACGGUGUUAAACGGAGUGGAAAGUUACCUAACCUGUUUUUAAAGGCGGUUUGUGAAUAAUGAAAGAUCCCGUUUAGCAUGGACCAAGGAAUCGUUUUUUCUACUUUGAAGUAUUUUAGUCUUGCAUUGACUUACACGAUUUUACGAUGAUAAUUUACACGGUUUUAUCUAAGAAGGAAAUUCGACUCCACGGUUUUAGAGAGCUUGACUGAUUGUUUCCGGUUUAUGUAUACACUUCCCUAUGUACGUCAGAAAGCAAAGUUUGAUAACAGAAAAAAAAUGCCCAAAUUAAUAAUAAAUAAACGUCCCGUACUGUA